rnacentral:lncRNA from 1 species
CUUUACGGGCCCAACGCUUUUCCGCCGUGGGCUGGUCCCCGGGACCCCGCCGACCGGACAGUAAGACUGGCCCCGCCCCUCCACGCUCCGACUAGCCUGGACUUGUUGCAAACGGAGAGUGAAUCGAGGGAAAGAGCGCGGGCUGGACCCGCCCCUCGCCCCACAUCCCUCACCCUUCACCCCUCACCCUUCACCCCUCACCCGGCUCCUCAGCCGCACCGCGAAGCCAACCCCCAAGGCCCCGCUCACCUUGACCGCGACUGCGGCUCCUCAGCCGUAACUACCCUCCCCGGGCCUGCUCUCACCUCACCCCGCGGUAACAGAUCCGAUAGGCCCACGAGGCGAGGGGACUCGCGGGGUGGAGAGGUGGUGAAUUUUCUAUGCGGUGGUGUAUUCUAUAGGUUUUUCCUUGUGAGCUUUGGAAAUCCAUUGAUUCUUGCCUUAAUUUCCUUUUUGUACGAUUUAUCAAAGAAUGGAGCUGGGACUGCAGAAGUGCCUUUGAGCAACAGAAGUUAUAACAAACAACAGGAGGACAAACAUUUCUCUCCAUGCACCGGUGCAAUGAAAUCAGGCGAGUGGCAAUCCCAGGACAGGAGCCAUGGAACUCAGAGCCACCGCUCAGCCACUCAGUCGCGUGGUCCCAGCAGCGGCAGACACGGGGAGGCGGGGGACGGCCUGGCCUCCCGGGGCGGGAGUGAGGGGCCAGGUGCCGCAGGAAGUGAGGGGCGCGGCACUGCCCCGUGCUGGCGGGAGAGUGUGGGGGAGGGGGCGGGGAGCCAAGCGCCCGGGUGCGCCCCGACCACAGGGAGCAGCUCAGUGGCAUCAGCUGUCCCAGCAGAGCUACCCUGGGGGCCGGAACCAGGCUGCGCUGGGGGGAAGGCGGCGGUAAGAGCCAGAGCAGAAGAGGAGCACAUGCUGACUGCCUUCCUCGUGCGCACGGAGCUCCUGGUGACCCAGCUGCACCUGGCAAGGGGAAGAGCGCUCCCGAGAUCCUAAGAUAUCUUCCUCCGAUGAAGAACGUCUGCUACUAGAUGUCUGAGUGCUUGCACAUCAGCUUGACUUACCAGUGGAUAUUUUCUUAACAAUUGCAUUAAAAAAAAAAAUCAAAUGGACCAGUGAAGUGUUUUCAAAGGAGUAGUCCUUGAAAAGGGACUCUUUUGGGAAUAGCAUGGCAGGUUAGGAGGAGAUCUCCUGCUCCCUAGCAUUUGGUCCAGUUGACAUAGACUGUUGAGUGCAGGGCUCAAAGCCAAGAUCAGCUAGUAAUAAAAAGAGUUUGUAUUUGUUAUAUGCUUCCCA